rnacentral:rRNA from 1 species
AUUGAACGCUGGCGGCAGGCUUAACACAUGCAAGUCGAGCGGAGAGAGGUAGCUUGCUACCGAUCUUAGCGGCGGACGGGUGAGUAAUGCUUAGGAAUCUGCCUAUUAGUGGGGGACAACAUUUCGAAAGGAAUGCUAAUACCGCAUACGUCCUACGGGAGAAAGCAGGGGAUCUUCGGACCUUGCGCUAAUAGAUGAGCCUAAGUCGGAUUAGCUAGUUGGUGGGGUAAAGGCCUACCAAGGCGACGAUCUGUAGCGGGUCUGAGAGGAUGAGCCGCCACACGGGGACUGAGACACGGCCCAGACUCCGACGGGAGGCAGCAGUGGGGAAUAUUGGACAAUGGGCGAAAGCCUGAUCCAGCCAGGCCGCGUGUGUGAAGAAGGCCUUAUGGUUGUAAAGCACUUUAAGCGAGGAGGAGGCUACUUUAGUUAAUACCUAGAGAUAGUGGACGUUACUCGCAGAAUAAGCACCGGCUAACUCUGUGCCAGCCGCCGCCGUAAAAC